UAAAAUCCAUUAGAAAAGUAUACUUUUGUUCUUGUGACAAAAAUAUAUGAAUUUUUAAAAAUCAUUUUCCUUAUGGUAAGAUAUGCUUAACCGACUAAACUCACUUUAAUUUUGAUAUCUCGGAGAAGAAGAGAGAUAUUGAGGAGAUUGAAACUGAAUUUAAAAGAAAAAAAAAACAACUUUUAUAAGCCGCAAAUAUUUUAAUUAAAAAAGACUACCUUAUGCCAAAAUAUUGCUUCGAAAACAGCCAAAAAUGGGUUUUUGAGAUUGAAUCGGGCAUUAGGCCCGGUGCACACAUGCGAUUUUUAACGCUUGAUGACGCAGCCGUUUGAAUUCACAGGAAUUACAUACGUGCGGUAGAGCAGCGGUGUUUUGGGAAUCUGCCUAGUUUUUUUUCUCGCAGGAAGCAUUACAGCAGAAGUGUUUGCAUACUCAAUUUAAUUGUGAGGAAUGCAAGAAUCAAACAACUUCUUCCAGUAUCCAAGUUGAUUGAGGACCCCUUCCACUUGCAUGCGCCAUCUAAGACGAGGUCUUCGUUUACUUCGCGACACUCUGGGUUGGAGACAAAAACUUUCCGGGCCGAAACAGUGUUUUCCAUGCGCUCUACAUAACUUAGCUAUUUCAGUCGCUGCCUCUUUGCUUGUUUAGCUAGGUUAUUGUUCUUGUGCAAUUCAGAUUGAUCCAAAAAUUGCUCGAAGAAUUUUUCUCUGGUAAAAAUCUACAAAUUCCAUGCCCUUGCGUCAUAUAGCAGAACUGGGAUGAAAAGAGUGUUGUACAUUGACACUUUAGUUACACAAUAGAGGAAAGAGGACUCUUUUGGUUUUUUUUGCCUUCUCAGGUCAAAGAAGCAGUGGCUUACAAAAUUUAAGCGCUGGUAUUGCCUGUGAUUUAUAACGGACCUUAGGUAGACAAUAUCUUUCAUUACUGGAAGUUAUGGCUGUGAAUAUCGUCAGCAUAUGUAGGUAUGAAUUUGGAAAGAUGGUACCUCUGAUAUUGACGUUAGAGUUGUGUAUCAUUCUUUCAAGGA